AUCUGACAGUGUGAACAAGAGUUUUGAUAUUGGUUUUGUCUUUGUUUCAAACCUCUAAUUAACCCCCAUUUUAAAGUAGAAUGAUUUAUUCCUCCCGUCGUCCAGAAUUUGUCAAGAUAUUUUUUUCUCCAUUUUGACUGAUGUUUGGCAAACUAAACAUGAGAGGAAAAUAAUUAUAUAGAGUAAUUCACUACUGAAUAAUUGUCAGAUUUUUAAACUAUUUUUAUAGCGUUGAACUGUUGAGAGAUAAACAUUAUUUAGAGCAUAUUUAAAUAGUUUACUGCUUUAUGGGUUUAUUAUUUUUAUACUGUGUGGGAGAAUCUUUCUACCAUUUCAGUGGGACUGCAAAUAAUAUACAUUUGGUGACUAUAAAUAUUGUGAAAAGAUUGAAACAUUACUGCCGCUUUCCCUGAUUUGUCACUGUUCGUGUUGUUUGUGUUUUAAAUUUGGGAUAUGAGCAAGUUAAUAAAGUCUGUACUCUGUAUGAUGAGUCUUCAUUUAGUUGUUUUGUUUUUGAGUAUGAGAAUAAACUUCACACAUUGUUCUGUCAUGUAAGAGACACGUAAUGGAUAACUGUGGUGUUUUGAUAUGGCUUAAUUGUUUCCAUUUUGUGUAUAUAAAUGUAAAUGGG